rnacentral:rRNA from 1 species
UACGAAGGGGGCUAGCGUUGCUCGGAAUUACUGGGCGUAAAGGGCGCGUAGGCGGACAGUUUAGUCAGAGGUGAAAGCCCAGGGCUCAACCUUGGAAUUGCCUUUGAUACUGGCUGUCUUGAGUUCGGGAGAGGUGAGUGGAAUGCCGAGUGUAGAGGUGAAAUUCGUAGAUAUUCGGCGGAACACCAGUGGCGAAGGAGACUCACUGGCCCGAUACUGACGCUGAGGCGCGAAAGCGUGGGGAGCAAACAGG